GGUGGGGGAGGGCUGGUCACGUGCUCCAUGGACUUAUAAUUCCGGUUCCGGCCACCCUCGCGCUCCUUUCUUAUGGAGGUCUGCGGGGUUUCGCGUGGUCUGCAGAACAGAAAGAUGGAUGGAGGUGGAGAAGAAGACAUUCCUUCGAAAAAAGCAAAGAGGCUGUGCAAGUAUCGUGAGAAAUGGGAAAAGGAAUUUAGCUUCUUGAAGAAGAGCAGAGUGGGGCAUGGUCAUGCAUUCUGCACAAUUUGCAGUUGCGUUUUUAGUGUCUCCCAUGGGGGAAGGACCGAUGUCACUCAGCAUAAAAAUUCUGCCAAGCACAAGCGCGGGCUAGAGGCACAGAAACAUGCCCCGACGAUGUCCGCAUUUGUGACUAGGAAUACCACAGAGGCUGACCAGGUCAGAAAUGCCGAGGUUAAAAUGGCCAUGCUGUGUGCCAAACACAACAUUUCUUUGACCUUCUGCGACGACUUCAAAAAGUGUGUAGCUGACAUGUUCCCGGACUCUGCCAUUGCACGAAAAUAUUCUGCAGGGAAAACCAAAACUUUGCAAAUCAUAAAAGGGGAUGACUAGCAUGAUGACUUGUG